ncrna:unclassified sequences CyVA-1 RNA
GUGGUGGGGACAGGUUUUCGCCGUUUCCCUGUCCAUGGACUCGCCAAAGGAGAACGGCGUCAGGCGAGAUCACACCGC